ensembl:lncRNA
UUUCCCCUUGAGAAGAAAUAGCUUAUUCUUCCUGCCAUCACCUAGUACCUCUACUGCUCUGCUCUGUAUUACAUAUUACAUUAUAUCAAACAGCAGGUUUUUUACAUAGCAAGACUAAGCUUCUGCUGCAAAGGACAGGCCAGCUUGUGCUAUCAAUCUUCCUUUGAAAUGGAAAGAAUUCAUCUUCACACAGAGAUUCUAUGCAAAAUGGAACACACAUAAGAGAAAAAAAUAUGGGAUCUGCAGAAAAUGCAAGCUGACAAAACAUUAAAACAAACAUGCAGAGAAGCACGUGGUCCCCCUGCAGUCUACAGAUGGGAUUGUGCACAGCAGGUCACAGACACAGAUCUUCUUGAGAACAGAGCUAAGCUGGAGGCCAGCUUUCUCCCCUUCGGCACAGCUCAGAAGAAUUGAAAAGAAAAAUAAACUGUUUCACUCUGUCCUUUGUCGCUGUUCUCUGCUCUGAGCUGCACCUGCACUCACUAAUGCUGAGGAGGCCUAGACAUCUGGAAAGCAUAAAAACAAUUUAAACAGUGUUCUUCAAGUGUCUCACACAGCUACAGAAAGACAAAGCUGAUUUUAUCUUGCUGUUAUGCAAAACAGAAAACAAAAACUGUGAGAACAUUUUGUAAGGCAGAUAUAUACACUUUGAAAUAGAGAUUCCAAGUCAUCCAACAUACCAAAGCAAUUAAAAUUUAAAAUUUGUAUUCACAACUGAAUUCUCUUGUAAAUUACUUAAGCUCAAAAUGUUAACAUAAUAGAUCUGUAUAAAAAAUCCAAACAUUUGUGUCUUUAAUAUAUUACCUUUUAAUAUUGUUUUUAGCUUAUAGCAUUUAGAAUUAUUCUGUAGUUGAUAUCUAAUCACUCAGUGCAAUUCAGAAAGAAAAUACUUGAUAAUUACAUUAAAAAAAUUUAUAAGAGGAGGAAAGGGAGAAGAAGUGCUUUUGCUCAAAUUAUUUCAUUGCUGUCAUGUUAAAUCAAAUGAUGUUAAAAACCCCUUUGGAAGCUUAGUAUGAUAGAAAAUUUCAGGAGAAAUUUCUCAAAGAUUUAGCAGAACUAUCAGAAAAUUUAUUGGGACCCUAACCCUAAACCUUAACCUAACCCUAAACAGUACACUUAACAAUAAACCAAGACCUAACCCAAAACAUAAACCUUACCCUAACCCUAACAGAAACACUAACCCUAACCAAGGACCUAACCCUAACCCCAACACAAAACCUAAUACUACACCUAUAGUAUAUAUAGUAUAUAUAAACCUAAUACUGGACCUAAAAUAACCCCUAACCCUAAAACUAAAUGCUAACCCAAAUACCUUAAACCUAACCCUAACACUAACCCUAACCCUUAUCCCUAACCCUAACCCUACUCCUAACACUAACCCUAAACCUAAACAUAAACCUAACCCUAACACUAACACAUACCCUAACCCAACACCUAACCCUAAACGUAACCCUAACCCUAAACUUAACGCUAACCCUACCCUAAACUUAACCCUAACCAUGACCCUAAACCUAAACAUAAACCUUAACCUAACACUAACCCUAACGCUAACCGUAAAGUUAAACCUAGCCCUAACCGUAACCAAAACCCAUACCCUAACCCAACACCUAAAACUAAAAGUAACCUUAACCCUAACCUGUUGCUUUCUGUUAGUUUACAACACUAACCUUAACCCUAACCCUACCCUAAACUUAACCCUAACCCUAACACUAAACCCAAAGAUAACACUUAUCCUAACUCUAACCCUAAUGCUAACUCGAAACGUAAUACUAACCCUAAACCUAACUGUAACCUAACCCUAACCUAAGCCCUAACACUAACUUAACACUACUCGUAACCCUAACUACAAUCCUAACCCAAAACCUAAUCCAAGCCCUAUACCUAACCCUAAAACUACCCUAACAGUAAACUAUACACAAACCCUAACCUUAAACCGAGCCCUAAACAUUACCCUACAUUAGCCAAAACCCUAACCCUACUCUAAAC